GGGGAAUUUUGCCCAAUGGGGGAAACCCUGACGCGGCAAUACCGCGUGAGUGACGAAGUUUUCCGUAUCUUAAAGCUCUGUCAUUGGGGAAUAAAAAACAUCGUUACCAGAGAAGAAAGUCCCGUCAACUUACGGUCCAGCAGCCGCGGUAAUACGUAGGGGACAAGCGUUGUCCGGAUUUACUGGGCGUAAAGGGCACGCAGGCGGUUUUUUAAGUCAGAUGUGAAAGGUACCGGCUCAACCGGUGACAUGCAUUUGAAACUGAAAGACUUGAGUAUUGGAGAGGCAAGUGGAAUUCCUAGUGUAGCGGUGAAAUGCGUAGAUAUUAGGAGGAACACCGGUGGCGAAGGCGGCUUGCUGGACAAAUACUGACGCUGAGGUGCGAAAGCGUGGGGAGCAAACA
rnacentral:rRNA from 1 species